rnacentral:rRNA from 1 species
UACAGAGGUCCCGAGCGUUGUUCGGGUUCAUUGGGCGUAAAGGGUGCGUAGGCGGCGGGGCAAGUCUGAUGUGAAAUCCCGGGGCUCAACCCCGGAACUGCAUUGGAUACUGCCUUGCUCGAGUACUGGAGAGGGAACUGGAAUUUACGGUGUAGCAGUGAAAUGCGUAGAGAUCGUAAGGAAGGCCAGUGGCGAAGGCGAGUUUCUGGACAGUUACUGACGCUGAGGCACGAAGGCCAGGGGAGCAAACGGG